rnacentral:rRNA from 1 species
AGUGAACGCUGGCGGUAGGCCUAACACAUGCAAGUCGAACGGCAGCUCAGUAAGAGCUUGCUCUUACGGGUGGCGAGUGGCGGACGGGUGAGGAAUACAUCGGAAUCUACUUUUUCGUGGGGGAUAACGUAGGGAAACUUACGCUAAUACCGCAUACGACCUACGGGUGAAAGCAGGGGAUCUUCGGACCUUGCGCGAUUGAAUGAGCCGAUGUCGGAUUAGCUAGUUGGCGGGGUAAAGGCCCACCAAGGCGACGAUCCGUAGCUGGUCUGAGAGGAUAAUCAGCCACACUGGAACUGAGACACGGUCCAGACUCCUACGGGAGGCAGCAGUGGGGAAUAUUGGACAAUGGGCGCAAGCCUGAUCCAGCCAUACCGCGUGGGUGAAGAAGGCCUUCGGGUUGUAAAGCCCUUUUGUUGGGAAAGAAAAGCAGCAGGUUAAUACCCCGCUGUUCUGACGGUACCCAAAGAAUAAGCACCGGCUAACUUCGUG